GACCUUCCAAUUUUUAUACUUGUUUAUUCUGCGCAUACUGCAAGAAAACCAACCAUAAUGUGGACAAAUGCCACAUGUUACUUGGUUAUCCUCCUUACUAUAAGUUCAACAAAUCUAAGAAAUUAGUAUCUCAUGUUCACACUACUGUUGUUCCCUCUACUUAUACUCCAUCUAAUGUUACAAAUACAACCUCCACUCCCUCUUCAUCUAGAUUUAAAUCCACAUUCUUAUCUCAUGGAUUUAGUACAAAGCUAUAGGAUGACCUUCAAACUAUGUUUCAAAAAGCCAGGAUCUCUUAGGGGUAUAAAUUUGGGUUUGAUUAUUCAGAAGUGUCAGGAUUUGC
rnacentral:lncRNA from 1 species